rnacentral:lncRNA from 1 species
UCAUAAACAGGAUUUGCAUGGUCCAAAGGCUUUAUUAUCACUGUGUUGCGCUGCCCUUGUUCUUGAACUGCUCCGAAAACUACUUCCUUUGUGUUUUCUGAGCUUUGCUCAUAGAAUGUUUGAGGUCCAGAUGAAUGAUAUCGAUGAUGAUGUAGGACUGCUCCGAAAACUACUUCCUUUGUGUUCUCUGAGCUUUGCUCGUAGAAUGUUUGAGGUCCAGAUGAAUGAUAUCGAUGAUGAUGUAGCUGCUUCUGAGUUUGCUGUUGCUGUAGUUGAACAUCAGCACUCCAUCCACCAUAAAAAGCACGGCUUUGCUUCAGCUGUUGCAUUUUUUC